GGGGGAUAUUGCGCAAUGGGGGCAACCCUGACGCAGCAACGCCGCGUGAAGGAUGAAGGUUUUCGGAUUGUAAACUUCUUUUAUUAAGGACGAAAAUUGACGGUACUUAAUGAAUAAGCUCCGGCUAACUACGUGCCAGCAGCCGCGGUAAUACGUAGGGAGCAAGCGUUGUCCGGAUUUACUGGGUGUAAAGGGUGCGUAGGCGGCUUUGCAAGUCAGAUGUGAAAUCUAUGGGCUCAACCCAUAAACUGCAUUUGAAACUGUAGAGCUUGAGUGAAGUAGAGGCAGGCGGAAUUCCCCGUGUAGCGGUGAAAUGCGUAGAGAUGGGGAGGAACACCAGUGGCGAAGGCGGCCUGCUGGGCUUUAACUGACGCUGAGGCACGAAAGCGUGGGUAGCAAACAGGAUUAGAUACCCUGGUAGUCCACGCUGUAAACGAUGAUUACUAGGUGUGGGAGGACUGACCCCUUCCGUGCCGCAGUUAACACAAUAAGUAUUCCACCUGGGGAGUACGACCGCAAGGUUGAAACUCAAAGGAAUUGACGGGGGCCCGCACAAGCAGUGGAUUAUGUGGUUUAAUUCGACGCAACGCGAAGAACCUUACCAGGAUUUGACAUCCAACUAACGAAGUAGAGAUACAUUAGGUACCCUUCGGGGGAAGUUGAGACAGGUGGUGCAUGGUUGUCGUCAGCUCGUGUCGUGAGAUGUUGGGUUAAGUCCCGCAACGAGCGCAACCCCUAUUGUUAGUUGCUACGAAAGAGCACUCUAGCGAGACUGCCGUUGACAAAACGGAGGAAGGCGGGGACGACGUCAAAUCAUCAUGCCCCUUAUGUCCUGGGCUACACACGUAAUACAAUGGCGGUCAACAGAGGGAAGCAAAGCCGCGAGGUGGAGCAAAUCCCUAAAAGCCGUCUCAGUUCGGAUUGCAGGCUGCAACUCGCCUGCAUGAAGCUGGAAUUGCUAGUAAUCGCGGAUCAGCAUGCCGCGGUGAAUACGUUCCCG
rnacentral:rRNA from 1 species